CUUUGACCUCAACUCAGGUAGAGUGACUCCGUUAC
rnacentral:rRNA from 1 species